CGAGAGCUUCAUGAAGCGUCACUCCUCUCUCUCCAGCACUAGGCGUCGUCGAAGCAGAUUGUGAUCAGUAUUGUGCUUGAACUAUCAACAAUGUCCGACAUAAUGAAGUGUGGGCUGAAUUGCCAGGGGAGAGAGACUGGACAUAUCUCUUGAGCAACUGGCAUAACAAUCAUGGUUGGAGACGAGUUAUUUCCAUAGCCUCCCUUCCAGUAGUACCAGUCAAAUGGAUCGAUAUUGGAAAAUAUGCAUCAACGAUUCCUGAGAGUUGUAUUUAUGGUGUAAAGAAAAAAUUGCAAAAUCUUCCUUGUCCUGAAAUGUUAUCGAGGUCAGAUGUGUAAUCAGUGCAUGAAUCGACAUGAAAAUUCAUCUGCUUAUUGAAGAUUGUGAUCAGUAUUGUGCUUGAACUAUCAACCAUGUCCAACAUAAUGAAGUGUGGGCUGAAUUGCCAGGGGAGAGAGACUGGCCAUAUCUCUUGAGCUACUGGCAUAACAAUCAUGGUUGGAGACGAGUUAUUUCCAUAGCCUCCCUUCCAGUAGUACCAGUCAAAUGGAUCGAUAUUGGAAAAUAUGCAUCAACGAUUCCUGAGAGUUGUAUUUAUGGUGUAAAGAAAAAAUUGCAAAAUCUUCCUUGUCCUGAAAUGUUAUCGAGGUCAGAUGUGUAAUCAGUGCAUGAAUCGACAUGAAAAUUCAUCUGCUUAUUGAAGGUUAUUGCAAGGACUAAGGGCCGCAGAUGACUCGAGCACUUAGGAUGUGGAGUUUACACAUCUUGGAUAAUUCACCUGCAUUAACAAAUGCAGUGCAGAAUUAUGAAGAUUGAGGAGAUGCACAUCACUGACUUCUGGGUUGACAAUUGUAAUAAGGCCUAUGAAGUGGGACGAACAGGGUUUGUGAACUGAAUGAAAAUAUAUUGGUUAGCCAGAAGUGGACACCUCAGUGAUGUUGGAUUGGUGGAGGCAGAGUUAAAGGCAGCCUAUGCUAUGGAUUUGCAGGCUCCUAAAGUAUGGUGAUCAUAACUGAAUUAAUCUGUACAGUAAAUGAAAUAAGAAGCGACUACAUUCUUCAGUGAUUUUGGCUCCCAAAGUGUUGGGUGCUUUACUGAACAAAUGGAUUAAAACCAUGAAUUCAAGAGGUCUACAUGAUAAAGUGGAUUUGUUGCUAUAGUGGAGGUGCUGAGGUCAUAUGCAGCCUGGAAGUUGUUGCAGGCUCCUAAAGUAUGGUGAUCAUAACUGAAUUAAUCUGUACAGUAAAUGAAAUAAGAAGCGACUACAUUCUUCAGUGAUUUUGGCUCCCAGAGUGUGGUGACGAUUACUGAACAAAUAUAUAUGUUAAAAUGAAUUAAAUCGGGAGAGGUCUACAUAGUUGCAUGUAUUUAGAAAGUGGAGGUACAAAGGUCUAAGUAGCCCCCCACAUGACUCGCAGGUAGAAAGAUGAUAUGGUGGUGCAGAACGAUGUGAAGCUAGAGGACCAUGCUGAUAUCAUAAAUUGUUGUGGAUUACUGUAAUUUGUGCAAUAAAAAAAGAGGAUGAAA